rnacentral:miRNA from 1 species
GUUUCACCAUGUUGGUCAGGC